rnacentral:rRNA from 1 species
CCUACGGGAGGCAGCAGUGGGGAAUAUUGCACAAUGGGGGAAACCCUGAUGCAGCGACGCCGCGUGAGUGAAGAAGUAUUUCGGUAUGUAAAGCUCUAUCAGCAGGGAAGAAGAAAGACGGUACCUGACUAAGAAGCCCCGGCUAACUACGUGCCAGCAGCCACGGGAAAACGUAGGGGGCAAGGGUUAUCCGGAUUUACUGGGUGUAAAGGGAGCGUAGACGGCUGUGCAAGUCUGAAGGGAAAGCCCAGGGGUCAACCCAGGGACUGCUUUUGAAACUGUGGAGCUAGAGUGCGGGAGAGGUAAGUGGAAUGCGUGGUGUAGCGGUGAAAUGCGUAGAUAUUAGGAAGAACACCAGUUGCGAAGGCGGCUUACUGGACAGUAACUGACGUUGAGGCACGAAAGCGUGGGGAGCAAACAGGAUUAGAUACCCUUGUAGUC